UACGGAGGGAGCUAGCGUUAUUCGGAAUUACUGGGCGUAAAGCGCACGUAGGCGGCUUUGUAAGUAAGAGGUGAAAGCCUGGUGCUCAACACCAGAACUGCCUUUUAGACUGCAUCGCUUGAAUCCAGGAGAGGUGAGUGGAAUUCCGAGUGUAGAGGUGAAAUUCGUAGAUAUUCGGAAGAACACCAGUGGCGAAGGCGGCUCACUGGCCCGGUACUGACGCUGAGGUGCGAAAGCGUGGGGAGCAAACAGG
rnacentral:rRNA from 1 species